AGAGUUUGAUUAUGGCUCAGAUUGAACGCUGGCGGCGUGCCUAACACAUGCAAGUCGAGCGGUAACAGGCGUACGAAUACAUGCUGACGAGCGGCGGACGGGUGAGUAACGCUUGGGAAUCUGCCUAUUAGUGGGGGAUAACUCGGGGAAACUCGAGCUAAUACCGCAUACGCACUACGGUGGAAAGCUGGGGACCGCAAGGCCUGGCGCUAUUAGAUGAGCCCAAGUCGGAUUAGCUAGUUGGUAGGGUAAUGGCCUACCAAGGCGACGAUCCGUAACUGGUCUGAUGAGGACGACCAGUCACACCGGAACUGAGACACGGUCCGGACUCCUACGGGAGGCAGCAGUGGGGAAUAUUGGACAAUGGGGGCAACCCUGAUCCAGCGACGCCGCGUGGGUGAAUGAAUUGGCUGCUGGGUUGUAAAGCCUUUCGGUGGGGAAGAAAUUGCUCGGCUUAAUACGCUGGGACUUGACGUAACCCACUAAAGAUGCACCGGCUAACUCUGUGCCAGCUAGCCGCGGUAAUACAGGGGUGCGUAGCGUUAUCGGAAUUUACUGCGUAAUGCGCGCGUAGGCGUUUGCUAGCUGAUGUGAAUCCCGGCUUACUGGGACUGC
rnacentral:rRNA from 1 species